GCCUGGGCUGCAGCCCCGGUCGCGGCCCAGUAAAUACAGGUACAGUGAAUGAAGGAAAAGGCCUAGACGCUCAGCCCAGUCGCUCUCGCUCGCCCUACUCGCCCAGCCGCUGCCUGCCCGCCGGCCGCCGCUCGCCCAGCCGAAAGCUGCUGCCUCCCCACCGGUCGCCGCUCGCUCAGCCGGAAGCCGCUGUCUAUCCGGUGCCCGCCGUCGCUCGCCCAGGCCCAGUCGCAGAGCCGUUGCGUGCCCGCCGUCGCUCGCCCAGCUGCUGCCGCCACCGCUCGCCCAGUCUAGGUCCAGCCGCUGCCCCGCCCAGCCGCUCGCGGCUCGUCCAAGUGUCCGCCACCGCUCACUCAGUCUACCUUCAGUUCUUGUUCUUGAUACACGGGUGCUCAGUUCCUUCAGUUCUUGUUCUUGAUAUACGGGUGCUCAGUUCAUGAUACAUGGGUGCUAACUGCCUGCUAGACGUGUUAUCAUUGCUUAUGUGGUUUCUACGUGCAGGGGUACAAAUUUUGCAAGCUGCUUUAAUUUAUCUGCAAUCAGCAAGGGCAUUUGAGUAAGAACUGCCCUGAGAACAAACAUGGCAUCUAUCCAAAGACCUACAGAUUAAUGCAUGGGCCGUUCACUGUGCGAGCGAGCUGAAAAAGCGAGGUGCUAUGGACCAAUGCAAUUGACGCACACACCGCGCACCGCACACUCUCUAGUCUCUAGAAACACACGUACGUGGAGCGUGGACGGCAGGUUUGGUAUCGAUUUGGCCUCGCAAGUUUGAAUAACGCCACGCCACCACCUCGUGACGCCUGUACAACAAGGUUUGGUAUACAAACUGUCCGGAGUUGAACGGCGACGGAGAAGUCCAUGCAUGCACCAUGCACGCGCAACUGGCCGGUAGGCUGCAGGACAGUACUACUAGGGCGCCAUGCAUCCUGUGCUACUAUUCGCUGGAGAGCUCAUCUCGUUGUGCUAGCUGUCGUUGUCCAAAUGCAAAACGUGCUUAGGCAUGUAAUUUUAAUUUCACACCGAAUUGGAACGAACAUCCUUUUUUUCGUAACAGGAGUACAUCAGUACUUCCUAACACUCUAACAGGUGCACUCAAGUGUAUGGUUGUUCUUUUCUCUA